UGGGGGAUAUUGCACAAUGGGCGAAAGCCUGAUGCAGCGACGCCGCGUGGGGGAUGAAGGCUUUCGGGUUGUAAACCUCUUUCGCUAUCGAACAAGGCCCGCUUAGGGUGGGUUGAGGGUAGGUGGAGAAGAAGCGCCGGCUAACUACGUGCCAGCAGCCGCGGUAAUACGUAGGGCGCGAGCGUUGUCCGGAAUUAUUGGGCGUAAAGGGCUUGUAGGCGGCUUGUUGCGCCUGCUGUGAAAACGCGGGGCUUAACUUCGCGCGUGCAGUGGGUACGGGCAGGCUUGAGUGUGGUAGGGGUGACUGGAAUUCCGGGUGUAGCGGUGGAAAGCGCAGAUAUCUGGAGGAACACCGAUGGCGAAGGCAGGUCACUGGGCCAUUACUGACGCUGAGGAGCGAAAGCAUGGGUAGCGAACAGG
rnacentral:rRNA from 1 species